rnacentral:tmRNA from 1 species
GGGGCUGAAUCAGGUUCGACGUGAGGAUCCGCGGUCGAUGUCAGCAGGCGGAGUUGCGAGCUCUCCUAAAACGAUCGCAACGGCAAUAACUGCCAACAACAACUACGCACUGGCUGCCUAAAUAAGGUAACCACCGGACGCGAGGGGUCGGCCCGAACCACUUCGCCUUCCGGUCAAAAAUUCGGGCUGGUUCGCACGGAUGAUGUGACGCGCAAACGAGAUCGACUGCAUCUGCGACGCACGAUAGCCUAGCUUUGGGGCGAUCGAACGGCUAAGACAAACUCAAAGCUGAGCCUGGAGAACGCAUCGGUCCGGCUUUGCGGACUCGGGGGGCAGUACCCCGACAGCUCCACCA